rnacentral:tmRNA from 1 species
GGGGCUGUUUUGGUUUUGACAUUUAAAAUUUUAGAGCAGUAUGAUGCAGGUCGAAGCUCGUAUUCUUCGUAAAAACAUACAAAUUUUUAUAAUAAAUGCAACGAAUAUAAUUUCUUUUAAUUUUAAAGCGUUAAAAACAAAUUUUAAUAAUAAACAAACUUCUUUAGUUUUUGCUGUUUAAGUUUAAAAUUUUAUAGUAAGCUAUUUUAUUCCCUAUAAUUAGACUUUUAUCUUUUUAUAGUUUAGAAUAUAUUAAUUCAGAUAUUUGUCCAUUUUUUGGACUAAGCCUGUGAAUGAGUACUUUAAUAAAAUUUAAAUGGACGUGGGUUCGAUUCCCAUCAGCUCCA